GUAGGGGGCGAGCGUUGUCCGGAAUUAUUGGGCGUAAAGAGCUCGUAGGCGGCUUAGUAAGUCGGCGGUGAAAUACCGAGGCUCAACCUCGGCACUGCCGUCGAUACUGCUAUGGCUAGAGUUUGGUAGAGGAGAACGGAAUUCCCGGUGUAGCGGUGGAAUGCGCAGAUAUCGGGAGGAACACCCGUAGCGAAGGCGGUUCUCUGGGCCAAUACUGACGCUGAGGAGCGAAAGCGUGGGGAGCAAACAGGAUUAGAUACCCUGGUAGUCCACGCUGUAAACGUUGGGCACUAGGUGUGGCGACCCGAUCAACGGUCGCCGUGCCGAAGCUAACGCAUUAAGUGCCCCGCCUGGGGAGUACGGCCGCAAGGCUA
rnacentral:rRNA from 1 species